AGCGGCCUGGGAACUCUUAGCUGAGCAGGCGAGAGCAUCAUGGAUACCGACUUAUAUGAUGAGUUUGGGAAUUAUAUUGGACCAGAGCUUGAUUCUGAUGAAGAUGAUGAUGAAUUGGGUAGAGAGACCAAAGAUCUUGAUGAGGUAAAACAAAUAUAUUGCUCUUUUAUCUCACUCUUAUUUAUUUUAUUUAAGACAAGAUCUCACUCUCUUGCCAGGUUGGAGUGCAGUGGCGCAAUCUCAGCUCACUGCAACCUCCACCUCCUGGGCUUAAGUGAUCCUCCCACCUUGGCCUCCCAAGUAGCUGGGACUACAGGUAUGCACCACCAUGCCCAGCUAAUUUUUUUUUAUUUUUCGUGGAGAUGAAACAUUGCCCAGGCUGGUCUUGAACUCCUGAGCUCGAGCAGUCCACCUGCCUUGGCCUCCC
rnacentral:lncRNA from 1 species